rnacentral:rRNA from 1 species
CCUACGGGUGGCAGCAGUAGGGAAUCUUCCACAAUGGGCGCAAGCCUGAACGAGCAACGCCGCGUGAAUGAAGAAGGUCUUCGGAUCGUAAAACCCUGUUGUUAGAGAAGAAAGUGCGUGAGAGUAACUGUUCACGUUUCGACGGUAUCUUACGAGGAAGCCACGGCUAACUACGUGCCAGCAGCCGCGGUAAUACGUAGGUGGCAAGCGUUAUCCGGAAUUAUUGGGCGUAAAGGGAACGUAGGCGGGCUUUUAAGUCUGAUGUGAAAGGCUUCGGGUUAACCGGUGAAGGGCACUGGAAACUGGCGGACUAGAGAGCAGGAGAGGGGGGUGGAACUCCAUGUGUAGCGGUAAAAUGCGUAGAUAUAUGGAAGAACACCAGUGGCGAAGGCGGCCGUCUGGUCUGUAACUGACGCUGAGGUUCGAAAGCGUGGGUAGCAAACAGGAUUAGAUACCCUUGUAGUC